rnacentral:pre_miRNA from 1 species
UUGACGGCGACAGACGAUAAUAGACAGGUCGACAAGUAAUGACUUCAGCUUGUCUAUUAGUCAUCUGUCUCAUUCUUUC